GACGAACGCUGGCGGCGUGCCUAAUACAUGCAAGUCGAGCGAGACUCUUCGGAGUCUAGCGGCGGACGGGUGAGUAACACGUGGGCAACCUGCCUGUAAGACUGGGAUAACACCGGGAAACCGGUGCUAAUACCGGAUAAUCCUUUUCCUCUCAUGAGGAAAAGCUGAAAGUCGGUUUCGGCUGACACUUACAGAUGGGCCCGCGGCGCAUUAGCUAGGUGGUGAGGUAACGGCGCACCAAGGCGACGACGCGUAGCCGACCCGAGAGGGUGAUCGGCCACACUGGGACUGAGACACGGCCCAGACUCCUACGGGAGGCAGCAGUAGGGAAUCUUCCACAAUGGACGAAAGUCUGAUGGAGCAACGCCGCGUGAGCGAUGAAGGCCUCCGGGUCGUAAAGCUCUGUUGUUAGGGAAGAACAAGUACCGGAGUAACUGCCGGUACCUUGACGGUACCUAACCAGAAAGCCACGUCUAACUACGUGCCAGCCGCCGCAGUAACAC
rnacentral:rRNA from 1 species